rnacentral:rRNA from 1 species
UGGGGAAUCUUCCGCAAUGGGCGAAAGCCUGACGGAGCAAUGCCGCGUGAGUGAAGAAGGCCUUCGGGUUGUAAAACUCUGUCCUUAUCGAAGAGAGGGUAUGGUGUGAAUAAUGCCAUAUUAGGACGGUAGAUAAGGAGGAAGCCCCGGCUAACUACGUGCCAGCAGCCGCGGUAAUACGUAGGGGGCGAGCGUUGUCCGGAAUCACUGGGCGUAAAGGGCGCGUAGGCGGUCUGGUAAGUCAGUGGUGAAAACUGAGGGCUCAACCCUCAGCCUGCCACUGAUACUGUCAGACUUGAGUAUGGAAGAGGAGAAUGGAAUUCCUAGUGUAGCGGUGAAAUGCGUAGAUAUUAGGAGGAACACCAGUGGCGAAGGCGAUUCUCUGGGCCAAAACUGACGCUGAGGCGCGAAAGCGUGGGGAGCAAACAGG